AUGGAAUCACAGACACAGGUCCUCAUGUUUCUGCUCCUCUGGGUGUCUGGUGCCUGUGCAGACACUAUGAUGACCCAGUCUCCUUCCUCCCUGGCUGUGUCAGCAGGAGAGAAGGUCACCAUCAGCUGCAAGUCCAGUCAGAAUCUUUUUUACAGUGAAAACAAGAAGAACUACUUAGCCUGGUACCAGCAGAAACCAGGGCAAUCUCCUAAACUGCUGAUCUACUGGGCAUCCACUCGGGACACUGGGGUCCCUGAUCGCUUCAUAGGCAGUGGGUCUGGGACAGAUUUUACUCUUACUAUCAGCAGUGUUCAGGCUGAAGAUCUUGGAGAUUACUACUGUAUGCAGCAUUAUUACCAUCCUCACACAGUGCUUCAGCCUCCAACAAAAACCUCCUCUGAGAGUCUCAGCAGCUGCCUGCACCACACACAGCCCUGGACCAGCAUUCUUCCCCUUUCUGCCUGA